GUAAACCUCUUUUUUCAGGGAGGAACAAAAUGACGUGUACCUGAAGAAUAAGCAUCGGCUAACUCCGUGCCAGCAGCCGCGGUAAGACGGAGGAUGCAAGUGUUAUCCGGAAUCACUGGGCGUAAAGCGUCUGUAGGUGGUUUGAUAAGUCAACUGUUAAAUCUUGAAGCUCAACUUCAAAAUCGCAGUCGAAACUAUUAGACUAGAGUAUAGUAGGGGUAAAGGGAAUUUCCAGUGGAGCGGU
rnacentral:rRNA from 1 species